AGUUGACAAGGGUUUGGUUCCCCUUGCUGGUUCAAAUGAUGAGUCAUGGUGUCAGGGUCUUGAUGGACUUGCCUCGCGCUCUGCUGCAUACUACCAACAGGGAGCACGUUUCGCCAAAUGGCGUACCGUGGUGAGCAUUCCCAACGGACCAUCUGCAUUGGCUGUCAAGGAAGCAGCAUGGGGCUUGGCUCGCUACGCUGCCAUUUCUCAGGACAAUGGUUUGGUCCCAAUUGUGGAGCCAGAGAUCUUGUUGGACGGUGAACACGGCAUUGACAGGACUUUUGAGGUAGCACAGAAGGUCUGGGCUGAAGUCUUCUUCUACUUGGCUGAGAACAAUGUCAUGUUUGAGGGUAUCCUCUUGAAACCAAGCAUGGUUACUCCUGGUGCUGAAUGCAAAGACAGGGCCACUCCUCAGCAGGUCGCAGACUAUACUCUCAGUCUCCUCAAGAGGAGGAUUCCCCCAGCUGUCCCUGGAAUCAUGUUCUUG
rnacentral:misc_RNA from 1 species